rnacentral:rRNA from 1 species
CCAAUAGCGUAUAUUAAAGUUGCUGCAGUUAAAAAGCUCGUAGUUGAAUUUCGGGACCAUCAUGUCGGUCGUGCCUCGGUACGUACUGGCAUUGUUGGUUUCUCCCUUCUGACGAACCAUGAUGUCAUUUAUUUGGUGUUGUGGGAAAUCAGGACUGUUACUUUGAAAAAAUUAGAGUGUUUAAAGCAGGCUCACGCUUGAAUACAUUAGCAUGGAAUAAUGAAAUAGGACGUUUGAUUCUAUUUUGUUGGUUUCUAGGAUCGACGUAAUGAUUAAUAGGGAUAGUUGGGGGCAUUAGUAUUCAAUUGUCAGAGGUGAAAUUCUUGGAUUUAUUGAAGACUAACUACUGCGAAAGCAUUUGCCAAGGAUGUUUUCAUUAAUCAAGAACGAAAGUUAGGGGAUCGAAGACGAUCAGAUACCGUCGUAGUCUUAACCAUAAACUAUGCCGACUAGGGAUCGGAUGAUGUUAAUUUUAAUGACUCAUUCGGCGCCUUACGGGAAA